UGGAGCAAAUUGCAUGUGGAAAAAAAAAAUAGAAAAGAAGAAGAAGAAAAGAAGUAGUGGUGGAAAGAUGACACACAAUGAUAACAACACAGUUGUUGAAGAUUCCAAAUCAAUUUUGUCUU
rnacentral:ribozyme from 1 species